rnacentral:lncRNA from 1 species
UCUUUGAGGAUGUCAAAUCAAGUGUGUGGCGAAAGUAUGAUCUUCAUACAUCAUGGGUAAUACCUUUGUUCUCAGCACAAAGAGAGAAAAUGAUAAAAUGAGAGAGUCUUAUCGGUGAAAACCCUCAGGGGCACCGAAAGGCGAUGGUGAGUUGAGAAAAGAGCAAAAUGAGAGAGGCUUGAUGGUGAAAACCCUUCGGGGCACUACAGGUCGACUGAGGAUUGUGGAUCAGAUGGGACAAUUGAAGCGCUGAAGCCCAGUUCCACAGCGAAGAGGUACAACAAGAGUUGAAUAUUAGACUUGCUUGAGAGAUUAGGUCACUUAAUCCAAAGGUGCAUGUCAUGGUCAUUAGAGUUGGUAUCCACAUUUGAUAAGUUUCUACUUUGUAAUUUUCUUGUUAGGUAUCAUCUCUUUACCUUGUCAUUUAUUUUGUUCCUCUUAUUUUGUUUGAGUCCUUCUUGAGUCUGUUUGGUCAGAACAAGUGAGAAAUGACUUCAAAAUUUGCUACCAUCUUUCCAAUUGCACAAAACAGAUUUGGCUAGCACAUCAAAGUGGCAUAAGUCAGGAAAGAACAGUAUGCGCACUGAGUUGGUAAUGAUCAACAUGCUUUGGGAUUCAUGUGAAAUGCAAAGGUUCGGUAAAUGUCAAUUCAUGAGCAAAAUGCAACAGAUAGAGGAUAUUGGGAUCGAAUGGAGCGGAGGUGUUUUUUGUGAUAAGGGUUGAAAGAAAAUGGGUAGUCGAUAACAGGCAAGGUCUUCCAAGUUGAAAUCAAAGUUAUCUUGGCAAGUGCAGAAGCAGCCGCCUUCAAGGUCAAGGCCACAAACUAACCACCGUGUUUUAAACUCACAAGUUUUCUUUGUCUGAAACAGGGAUGAAGGCUAUAUUCAUAACAAAG